CACGUAGGGUGCGAGCGUUGUCCGGAAUUAUUGGGCGUAAAGAGCUCGUAGGCGGUGUGUCGCGUCGGCCGUGAAAACCUGCAGCUUAACUGUGGGCUUGCGGUCGAUACGGGCAUCACUGGAGUUCGGCAGGGGAGACUUGAAUUCCUGGUGUAGCGGUGAAAUGCGCAGAUAUCAGGAGGAACACCGGUGGCGAAGGCGGGUCUCUGGGCCGAUACUGACGCUGAGGAGCGAAAGCGUGGGGAGCGAACAGG
rnacentral:rRNA from 1 species